CACGUUAUUCUUAAUCUAUUGAACGUGUUCACGGAAACGUUUUUCUCGUUUUUUUCGUGUAAAUAUACACGUUUUUCUCGACCGAGGCGCCCGGGGAAAGGACGCCGGGAGGCGGCCUCAUGAGGCGCCACACGCCGGCCGGGAGGCGCCCGGGGAAAGGACGCCGGGAGGCGGCCUCAUGAGGUGCCACACGCCGGCCGGGAGGCCGGGAGGCGCCCGGGGAAA